AGCCAACACCUGAGGACACCUGAGGACAGAGCCUCUGUCUCCCAGUCUCUGUGAGAAAGUAGAAUUCUAACUUCAAUAAUACCAGCUAGCAGACACCACUGGCCUAGUUGCAUUUACACUUGACCUUUGGUUAAAAAAAGUAGAUGGGGACUUCCCUGGAUGCAGUGGUUAAGACUUCACCUUCAUUGGAAGGCAGGGGGUGUGGCUUCAAUCCCUGGUCGGGGAGCUAAGAUCCACAUGCCUCACAGCCAAAAAACCAAAACUAAAAAAGAAGCAAAAAACUAAAAAUAGAACUACCAUAUGACCCAGCAAUCCUACUACUGGGCACAUACCCAGAGAAAACCAUAAUUCAAAAAGACACAUGCGGGCUUCCCUGGUUGUGCAGUGGUUAAGAAUCUGCCUGCGAAUGCUGGUGGACACGGGUUCGAGCCCUGGUCUGGGAAGAUCCCACAUGCCGCGGAGCAACUAAGCCUGUGCACUGCAACUACUGAGCCUGCGCUCUAGAGCCCGCAAGCCACAACUACUGAGCCCACAUGCCACAACUACUGAAGCCUGUGCACCUAGAGCCCGUGCUCUGGAACAAGACAAGCCACAGCAAUGAGAAGCCUGCGCACCGCAACGAAGAGUAGCCCCCGCUCACCACAACUAGAGAAAGCCCAUGUGCAGCAACGAAGACCCAAUGCAGCCAAAAAAAAACAGACACAUGCACCCCAGUGUUCAUUGCAGCACUAUUUACAAUAGCCAGGUCAUGGAAGCAACCUAAAUGCCCAUCGACAGACGAAUAGAUAAAGAAGAUGUGGUACAUAUAUACAAUGGAAUAUUACUCAGCCAUAUAAAGGAACAAAGUUGGGUCAUUUGUAGAGACAUGGAUGGACCUAGAGACUGUAAUACAGAGUGAAGGCUUUUACAAAUAUAUAUAUAUGGAUCUUCUGAGAAGGUUUUUGAGGUGCACAUUUCUCUCUUUUGUUUUUCUCUUGAUUUAUGGACACGAUGCUGAGAUUCAAUCACUACAUGAAACUCCCAGCUGUGAAAACAAAACAAAAAACCCAAAGGGCUGUUUUUUCCACCAGCCCUGGGGAAGCUAUGUGACGGUCGGAGGCCGGUUUCAGAAAGUUUCACCAUUCUUUCCACCCUCUGUUCCUCUCUCUCCUCCAGAAGGAAGUUGAUCCUAGUGAUUUCAGCCCAUGCGUUAAGCAGGAAACAAUAAUAAACGUGUAGAAUUCAUAUUUUUCUAAAGGGAACUUAAAAACUCCCGCUGCGUUAUGUACAAAACUGGUUUAUGCCACAUGAACACAGAAUCCCAAGUUCGGUUUGGGUACUUUUCGUUCCGCUUUGCGUUCAGUUGUAUAGUACUUCCAAGUUCAAAAUGAGAAGAAAAAGCUGUUCUGUAUCAAACCAUCUAAGCAAUAAAUGUUAUAUUUUAAAGAUGGAAAAAAAAAUCUGCCUACCAAUGCAGGGGACGCAGGUUCGAGCCUGGUCUGGGAAGAUUCCACAUGCCGCGGAGCAGCUAAGCCCGUGUGCUGCAACUACUGAGCCUGAGCUGUAGAGCCCACGAACCACAACUACUGAGCCCACGUGCCACAACUACUGAAGCCCGUGCGCCUACAGCCCGUGCUCCGGAACAAGAGAAGCCACUGCGAUGAGAAGCCCACGCACCGCAACGAAGAGUAGCCCCCGCUCGCCGCAACUAGGGAAAGCCUGCGCGCAGCAACGAAGACCCAGUGCAGCCAACAAUAAAAUAAAGUUUAAAAAAUAAGUAGAUAAAUAUGUAAGGUAAGCAAUAUAAGUAUAUGAUAGUACAGGUGACACAAGGAUAAAGCAAAAAUGACGGUACUUGGGAAUUAGGGAAAUGCUGAUCCAAUUCCACACCCCUCACUUUACAGCUGAGGAGACUUCUACACAAAGAGGCAAAACUAAAAGUCAUAGGUUGGGCAUUUUCCCUGAAUCCCAGUACCAGACUCCCCGUGUGACCCUGGGUGGGAGGAGAGUCAAAGCAAGCACAGAAAUAGCUCUUGCAAAGGCAGCCUAGGACAGGUUCUCCAUGGAGUCUACUGAAGAGGGAGAGCCGCCUGUGAUUGGGGAAGGGGUCUGGAAGGACUUCCAGGGGGAGGGUAUGUGCCCUAAACCAGGCAGUGAGAGCUACCUGGGGCAGAGGUGGGAGGGAGGGGUGUCCUGCUUGAAGGGACAGCAGAAUAAAGGCAGAGAGCACAGUGCUGGCAUGGAUGAAGGCUCUGAAUUGGGAGAGAAGUGGAGAUAGGUACAGCAGAGCCCGGAAUGCCUCAGGGAGGAGUUUGUUCCUCCUCUGAUGGCCCCUGGGAGCCACUGAAGGUCUCAGAGCAGGAGCAGCCUUCUGGGAGGAAUAACCAGGGGCUGGGAGAGGUCUGAGCUGGGCGUGCAGAUGUGAGAGCCCCCUCCAAAGAGGGGCCAAGGGGUUGACAGGCUGGCCUAGAGGGAGAGUGUAGAGAGAGGAAGAAGGUAGCAAGGAGAAGCUACGGGGAACACCUGCCUUUAGGAAGUAGGAGGAGGAAGAACAGCCAUCAGAGAGGCAAGAGAAGCAGGAAUGUAGAGAGGAGCCCAAACCAUGAGAGGCUAGGGUGGUGAAAGGAGCAGAGGGCCAGUGCCCAGGCGGCACCCAGGCCGGGAACGGUGGAGCUGGUGCUUGCGGGGCGCAGGGGGUUGUCACAGGGUUUCUCCAAUGGGAGGAUGUUAAUUUGUUGGCCCCUAAAAUAGCAGUUGUCACUCCAGGCCACUGUUUGACUAUCCCUAAGGACUUCUGCUUGGAGAGGCCCUGCCUCUCACUGGCUGUGCAACUUUGGGCAAAUUACCUCUCCCUGAACCUCAAUUCCCACCUCUGUAAAACGGGGAUAAGAACAGCAACUUCAUGGGCUUAUUGUACAGAUUAAUGGGGACGGUAUUAGCCUGUGCCUGGCAGAGAGCCAGUGCUCUCAGAUGGAAUUUCUUGGUUGUACCACCGCAGAGGGUCGGUGUGCACGUGCUAAGUGCUGGCUCUGUGCUGGGCACUGGCAGUACAGUGCUGCGUGCAGGCCGAGUCUGCCCUGGAGGAGCUCACAGUCUGGCCAGGCUUGAGCACCUGAAUCUCGGCACUCUGGGGAACCCCCAGCGUGGGCCCAUUUUGCCAGCACUCCAGCCCCUGGAGUUUUUCCAAGAACUUGUACUGAAAUAGUUAUCCACAGCCACCUUGCUUUGACAAAACCCAAGGUUCUGUGAUGUUUCUGUGGGUGAGGGCAUGGUCUCUGAGAGCCCGCUUCCCCCCUGGAGCUCAGCCUUCAUCCAGAGCGGCUGCUCCCAGAGGUCGGGGGUGCCUCUCAUUGGGGGAGAAAGAACUAAGAAAGUGAGGGAGUGGUCAUCCUGCUGCAUAUCUGUACUUUACAGACAAAGUUCCCAUCAGGGCACCCCUCUCAUGAGGUCACAGAGUCUAGAGAUAGGACAUGGAUCCGUCCUUUCAGCAUGUCAGGAAAGCACCUUCUGCAUCCCAGCACUGUGGGAGGCUUGGGAGCACAUCUGGGAACCGACAGAGCCUACACGGGCCAGCGGGGAAAUAAACCUCUAACUCCGCAUUUUGAUGAGAGCCACAGAGGAAGAGUAUUCAUUCUCUUGAGUUCUGGGUGGUCAGGGAGGUCGUGUGUGUGUGUGUUGUGAUGUUCACGUUGAGACCUAGAGGUUGAGAAGGAGGCUUCUCUGCAGGGCCUGCGGUAGAGUUCCAGGCCCAGGCAGCAGCACAGGUGAAGGCCCUGAUACGUGUAAGACCUUGACCUCUUCAAAGAACCAGUGUUUCUGGAACAGAGUUGGAGUGGGGUGUGGACCACUGGGCAGAGUUGGAUUCUAAGAGUUGAAGCCCCCAAAGGGCUUGAAGUGGUGCACUUUAAGAAAUUGUUGUAUAUUUAUUCAAUAAUAUUUAUUGUUUUCCUUUAUUUCAGCAAAAUCGCUAUAUUAUUAUAAACAGUCUCAUUGCA